UACGUAGGGACCGAGCGUUGUCCGGAAUCAUUGGGCGUAAAGAGCGUGUAGGCGGCCACUUAAGUCCUGCGUGAAAUCCUGCGGCUCAACCGCAGGCGGUCGUGGGAAACUGGGUGGCUAGAGUGCGGGAGAGGAGAGUGGAAUUCCAGGUGUAGCGGUGAAAUGCGUAGAUAUCUGGAGGAACACCGGUGGCGAAGGCGGGUCUCUGGGCAGUAACUGACGCUGAGGAGCGAAAGCGUGGGGAGCGAACAGG
rnacentral:rRNA from 1 species